CAGCACCUCCACAGCCACCUCAAGCAUCUCCCCAGCCACCUCCAGCACCUCCACAGAGACCUCCAGCACCUCCAGAGACACCUCAAGCAUCUCCCCAGACACCUCCAGCACCUCCCCAGUCACCUCCAGCACCUCCACAGCCACCUCCAGCACCUCCACAGAGACCUCCAAUACCUCCACAGCCACCUCCAGCACCUCCACAGACACCUCCAGCAUCUCCCCAGACACCUCCACCAUCUCCCCAGUGACUUCCAGCACCUCCCCAGCCACCUCCAGCACCUCCACAGCCACCUCCAGCACCUCCCCAGACACCCCUAGCAUCUCUCCAGUGACCUCCAGCACCACCCAAGACACCUCCAGCAUCUACCCGGAGACCUCCAGCAUCUCUCCACACACCUCCAGCACCUCCCCAGCCACCUCUAGCACCACCCCAGACACCUCCAGCACCUCCCCAGUGACCUCCACUAUCUCCCCAGUGACCUCCAGCACCGUCCCAGACACCUCCAGCACCUCCCCAGCCACCUCCAGCACCUUCCCAGCCACCUCCAGCACCUCCACAGAGACCUCCAGCACCUCCACAGACACCUCUAACAUCUCUCCAGUGACCUCCAGCACUACCAAAGACACCUCCAGCAUCUACCCGGAGACCUCCAGCAUCUCUCCACACACCUCCAGCACCUCCCCAGCCACCUCCAGCGCCUCACCAGCCACUUCCAGCAUCUCCCCAGUGACCUCCAGCAUCUCCCCAGACACCUCCAGCAUCUCCCCAGUGACCUCCAGCAUCUCUCCAGUGACCUCCAGAACCACCCCAGCCACCUCCAGCACCUCCCCAAACACCUCCAGCACCUCCACAGACACCUCCAGCAGCACCCUAGACACCUACAGCACCUCCCAAGCCACCCCCAACGUCUCCCCAGACACCUCCAGCAUCUCCCCAGUGACCUCCAGCAUCUCUCCAGUGACCUCCAUCACCUCCCCAGACACCUCCAGCACCACCCCAGCCACCUCCAGCACCUCCACAGACACCUCCAGCACCUCCCCAGACACCUCCACCAUCUCCCCAGUGACUUCCAGCACCUCCCCAGACACCUCCAGCACCUCCACAGGCACCUGCAGCACCACUCCAGACACCUCCAGCAUCUCCCCAGACACCCCCAGCAGCCCCCCAGUGACCACCAGCAUCUCCCCAGAAAUGUCCAGCACCACCCCAGACACCUCCACCAUCUCUCCAGUGACCUCCAGCACCUCCACAGACACCUCCAGCACCUCUACAGACACCUACACCAUCUCCCCAGUGACUUCCAGCACCACCCCAGCCACCUCCAGCACCUCCACAGACACCUCCAGCAUCUUUCCAGUGACCUCCAAGACCUCCCCAGACACCUCCAGCACCACCCCAUACACCUCCAGCACCUCCCCAGACACCUCCAGCAUCUCCCCAGUGACUUCCAGCACCACCCCAGCCACCUCCAGCACCUCCACAGAGACCUCCAGCAUCUCUCCAGUGACCUCCAACACCUCCACAAACACCUCCAGCACCUCCACAGACAGCUCCAGCAUCUCUCCAGUGACCUCCAACACCUCCCCAGACACCUCCAGCACCACCCCAUACACCUUCAGCACCUCCCCAGACACCUCCAGCAUAUCUCCAGUGACCUCCAGCAUCUCUCCAGUGACCUCCAGCACCUCCCCAGACACCUCCAGCAUCUCCCCAGUGACCUCCAGCACCUCCCCAGCCACCUCCAGCACCUCCACAGACACCUCCAGCACCUCCCCAGCCACCUCCAGCACCUCCACAGACACCUCCAGCACCACCCCUGACACCUCCAGCAUCUCCCCACAAACCUCCAGUACCUUUCCGGACACCUCCACCAUCUCUCCAGUGACCUCCAGCAUCUCCCCAGUGAACCCUAGCACCUCCCCAGCCACCUCCAGCAUCUCUCCAGUGAGCUCCAGCACCUCCCCCGACACCUCCAGCACAAUCCCAGUGAGCUUCAGCAUCUCCCCAGAGACUUCCAGCACCUCCCCAGUGACCUCCAGCAUCUCCCCAGUGAGCUCCAGCACCUCCCAAGAGGCCUCCAGCACCAUCCCAGUGACCUCCAGUACCAUCCCAGUGACCUCCAGCACCUCCCCAGAGACCUCCAGUACUAUCCUAGUGAGCUCCAGCACCAUCCCUGUGAGCUCCAGCACCUUCCCAGUGACCUCAAGCAG
rnacentral:lncRNA from 1 species